rnacentral:rRNA from 1 species
UACGGGGGGAGCAAGCGUUGUUCGGAUUUACUGGGCGUAAAGGGCGCGUAGGCGGUCAGCACAAGUCAGUUGUGAAAUCUCCGGGCUUAACUCGGAAAGGUCAACUGAUACUGGUGCGACUAGAGUGCAGAAGGGGCAACUGGAAUUCUCGGUGUAGCGGUGAAAUGCGUAGAUAUCGAGAGGAACACCUGCGGCGAAGGCGGGUUGCUGGGCUGACACUGACGCUGAUGCGCGAAAGCCAGGG